UACGUAGGGGGCAAGCGUUGUCCGGAAUCAUUGGGCGUAAAGAGCGUGUAGGCGGCUCGGUAAGUUCGCUGUGAAAGUCCAGGGCUCAACCCUGGGAUGCCGGUGGAUACUGUCGGGCUCGAGUCCGGAAGAGGAGUGUGGAAUUCCUGGUGUAGCGGUGAAAUGCGCAGAUAUCAGGAAGAACACCCGUGGCGAAGGCGGCUCUCUGGAACGCAACUGACGCUGAGACGCGAAAGCGUGGGGAGCAAACAGG
rnacentral:rRNA from 1 species